rnacentral:rRNA from 1 species
CGAACGCUGGCGGCAGGCUUAACACAUGCAAGUCGAACGCCCUCUUCGGAGGGAGUGGCAGACGGGUGAGUAACGCGUGGGAACCUACCCAGUAGUACGGAUAACUCAGGGAAACUUGUGCUAAUACCGUAUACGCCCUACGGGGGAAAGAGUUUAUCGCUAUUGGAUGGGCCCGCGUUGGAUUAGUUUGUUGGUGAGGUAACGGCUCACCAAGGCUACGAUCCAUAGCUGGUCUGAGAGGAUGAUCAGCCACACUGGGACUGAGACACGGCCCAGACUCCUACGGGAGGCAGCAGUGGGGAAUAUUGGACAAUGGGGGAAAACCCUGAUCCAGCCAUGCCGCGUGAGUGAAGAAGGCCCUAGGGUUGUAAAGCUCUUUCGCUAGGGAAGAUAAUGACGGUACCUAGUAAAGAAGCCCCGGCUAACUUCGUG